UUGGAGAAUAAAGAGAGAAGAAACAAUGUCUAAGAAGAAAAAAGAAGAAUUGCGGAGAACGAUCACGUUAUAUUUUUAAAGCAAAUACUUAAAUAGGAAUUAAGACUCAACCACCUAAGAGAACCACAACGUUAUCUACUAAGCUAAAUAUUAGCAACUAACAAAAGAUAUGAUUUGACUCAAGUAGGACUCCUAACAAACGUGUUACUCUGCCAACUAAAUAGGAACCUUUGAAUCAAUAUUAAACACUCCCUCUUGAUUCAAAAUUACAAGAUCCAAGUUUAUGCCGGAACUGAUCAUGCUUGGCUUGUGGGAGUGUCUUGGUGAGAAUAUCUACAAUUUGAUCAUUUGUAUCGCAAAACUUCAACUAUCACCUGUUGCUGUGUGGUCACGAAUGAAAUGAUAACGGAUCUCUAUGUGCUUUGUUCUUCUGAAAAGCCGAAUUCUUUGUUGUCACAUCCGAGAUUACCCCCUAGACAUAACUAAUGUCGUCGUCCUCUUUGAGGAUUAAGACUAGCCUCUUAGCUUACAUCAUUACAUUCAUAGGUCAAAAUUAGUGAAAAUUUAAAACUUUUUACUACUUUUACAUUGAGGUUUACAUAGACCUCUACAUACACGUAAUAUAUACAUAUCGAGUAUAUAUAGACCCUUCGUAUAGGAAGAUUACUUAGUCUUCUACUUUUAUUGCACAUAGAUACAUAGAAUAUAACAUAGUCUCAAAAGCAUGUCUAAUAUCCAAAUGAAAAGGAAAGAAUAUAAUAGUCUUAAAACUAAAACAACAUCAUAGGCUUGAUAGUGACACUAUCCUUGGAAAGUGAGGACCUACCCAACUUGGAUGAUUAAGAAUUCCAAGUUUUCUUCAAAGUCGUCUCCAAAAGCUCUUCAACGACCAGAACCUACAAUGUAAGGGAAAAAGGAAGAAAUGGGGUUAGUACACUAAUUGUACUAUGUAUGAGACUAUAUGCACACAUAUCAUGAAAACAUGCUAAAAGGGGAAAGUUCAUUAAAUAUGCAAUUUACUUUGAAAACCUUUAUGCAAAUUCAACAAGACCAUACCAAAUCAACAAGACAUAUUCAUUAAGUCAUAGACAUGUACAUCACAAGACCAACAACAUCAAAACUAGUCAAGUCAACAUGCAUAUCAUAUAAUUGAAUACAUAGUCAAGUAACUCUAUCAUCAAGUCAUAAAUAACCACAAGCAUGAAUAAGAGUUCAUUAUAACAUAACCAAAGUAAGACAAUUAUCCACGACUACUAUCAAGUCAACAAGUGUAAUGACCAAGCAAAGCCCCAUAACCUUAUUCAAUCAAGUAACUCAACAAGAAUCAUGACCAACAUCCCGCUUCACAUAGCAUGACAUUUAAGAGUACAUAUCAUCAUACUUUAACAAUGUAGACCAAGACAUAUUCAUAAGUGACACCAAUCAACAUAUAGUAUCAACAAUGUGCAAGUUCAUCAUAAACAUAUCAUGUACCACUAUAAGCAUAUUCAUACAUAAGAACAUCCCCUAAGACUCCCUUCAAGACUAACUAGUGCAAUGUUUAGGUGGAGUGCCAUAUCCCUACCUAGACUAAGCUAAACCCCUUAGGUUAUCUUAGUUAGAGUUCAUUCCUUUAAUUCAUUUUACCAUUUGGGAACAUCUUGCCUAACCGACAUAGACCACAUGAGCUAAUGUGGAAUCCAGUGUCAUGGAACCCUAUACUGAAAGAAGGCGGACUAUUUGCCAAGGUAGUAAUAAAACAUGAACAUAGCAACUAUGUAGAACCACUAGUUAGUAUUCCUAUGGGGGCAACAUAGUUCAAGAAUUAGGAGAUAUAGUUGGGACCCUUUUAAUGCUACAUGCAUUGUAAUCUCCAAUCUCAAGAGUAUAUUGGUGAUCUUACAUUCCCUAUGUGAAAAGGGACACUCCUCACUCUAGUUCACUUGGUGCUAAGCUAGAUUCCCUUUUUGAAAUGUCUUUAAUAUCUUUAUUAAUCAUCAUAACUUAGUGUAGGUCAUAGGUUCUAACCCUUGUAUAACAUCAUCAUCAUCAUACCUCAAUAAGAAUUGCAUGAGUAUUGUCCUUUCAUUAUAAUUCAUAUAGGUGAGGUUAGCACAUUAACAUUUUCAUAUCAUGAUAAGGCACACCGGUAAAUUCAUUUACCAUCCUUAUAACAUUUACAUCUUAGCUAACACCUUACAAACCAUAGUCAAGACAUUUCAAUUCAACAUCAUACCAACCCUAUCAAUCCUAAUACAAGUCAUACUCCAAUAUAACAUCAUGACUUAAUCACAAUUAACCAUAAUUGAAGUAAAGAAUAGGGAUCACAAGACUUACCAAGUCUCCUUCAUAAUUCAUCAUCAAUGUCUUACCAUAAACCCUUACUCUAACUAAUUAGGGUGUAGUAUCAUCAUAUAACCAUAACCAACAUGGUAACAAGACUAAUGGAAUCACUACAUCAAAAUCAAAUACUAGUUCAUAGCUUAAUAUAAGACACACAGAUCAAAGUCAUAAUCUAAAGCAAUUACUCAAAAACUAGCAUGGUAGGACUAUAAGUCACCCUAAUCUAUUCAUGAUUAAUACAAAAACAUCAUCUAUUAGUAAUUCAACCAUAACCAAGUCAAUUGAACUAACAUUACACAAUUCUCAUCAAGAUCACAACUUAGGGUUAAGGGGUAAAGGUCAUCUUCUACAAACUAGACCGAUCCAUCAAGAUAUAUCAUAAUUGAGUUAAAUUACAUGUUAAUCUAUUCAUAAUAUCCAAAACAAAUCAUAACAAAGUGAUCCAUAACAACACUUUGGAGAUUGGAUGAAACCCACUUGAAAAAUCAACUUUUGAAAUCAAUUUGGUGGAAACCUUUGAGGAAAUAGGUCUCAAAGGUGAAAAGAAUCCCAUACCCUGCUAAUUGAUGAAGAAAAUUGACCCUUUGCAGCCCUUGAACCCACCUCUCUCUUGGUCUUCAAUGGGGGGUUUCUUUGGGAGAGAUAAAGAAAAGAAGGAAGAGAGUUUUGGGUUUGGG
rnacentral:lncRNA from 1 species